CCCUUAGAUGUCCGGGGCUGCACGCGCGCUACACUGUAGAAAGCAGCGUGCUUUAAAACCUUUCCUGAAAAGGAUGGGUAACCCCAGCAAAAUUCUACGUGCUUGGGAUAGAGAUUUGCAAUUUUCUCUCUUGAACGAGGAAUUCCUAGUAAGCGCGAGUCAUCAGCUCGUGCUGAUUACGUCCCUGCCCUUUGUACACACCGCCCGUCGCUCCUACCGAUUGAGUGUUCCGGUGAAUAAUUCGGACUGCGGCUGAUUGGGGACUCUUCAGUCGGCUGUGGAAAGUCUAGUGAACCUUAACACUUAGAGGAAGGAGAAGUCGUAACA
rnacentral:rRNA from 1 species